GCAAUUAUCUACAGUGUGAAUAGAUAUAGGUCUGAUGUAUUGAUAAUUCCAAUUCGUCUGCGAUGACUUCUUCACUCAAAUUACGUUUAGUACUUAAAUGUUCGUUUCAUAGUUAAGUAACUUGAGUACUUAAUCGUCACCACACAUUUGUUUUCGCGAAAAAAUAGUGUGUUCAGUGUUGAAUUAUCCCUUAUAAUAAUUAUAAUAGGUACAAUCGCAAAUAUGUAGUCGAAUACCUCAAGUCGUGCAUUUUUUGUUUUUAUCUGAAAUAAUCGAAAUGCUUUGUCUGAAGAGAUUGAUUCUGAUUUGAUCUGCUGCAAUACUGGCGGGAAACGGCGAAAAACUGACGGAUAAAAUUCACGAAUGAUGAGUUAGAAGAAUUGCAAAAAUUGCCUACAGACCUUCAAGAAAAGUUAGAAAACAUUGUACAAAAAAAUGAUAAUCUUGAACGAGAAAAUGAUAAUCUUGAACAAGAAAAUAAAUUCUACAAAUAUUAUUUAGGUUAAUGAGUAAGUGUAGUCAAUUCAUUAUUCUAUUUUAGUCGAUAUCAAUGCUCAACCCCCCCCCCCCCGAAUCCGAAGAAAACUAUUCGAAGAGAUCCGAUUACGUAGGAAAAGUAAGCUUUGAAGAAUAUAUCCGGUUCACCAAGAUGACGGCGUGGCAUUCAAAGGACCUCAUAUGUUCCUGCUUCGAGGAUUUACACCGACAGAGGAAAGUCGGGGAAAACGUGGCCACGUUGCCACUUCUGGGUAUCCAAGCACUUCUCAUUCGUAAAAGAUUUAACGUUGACAAAGACGUGCUAUCUGUAUCACCAGCUUACCAUCAGUUUGAUAGCCGAAAAGUCCUUAUGAAUAAUGCAGGAUUUGUCGGGAGGUUAAAUCCAACCUUAUGUCGAUUUAUUAAACAACUCCCAAUGUCCCAAUCUUAGAAUUAAAAUUAUGUGCUUCGAAAGUAGGGUUUUAAGAGAUCGCAUGUACAAUUUGGUGUAUGCAAGUUGAUUCUACGGUUUGAAUCAACUUGCAUGUACCAAAUUGUAUAUGCGAUUUCUUGAAACCCAACUUUCGAAGCACAUGGUUUUACGUAAAAAAAAAAGGAAUUCUCCGAAAAUUUUGAUCCCUCGACUAUAAAUCAAGUGGUGCUGGUAGCCACAUAAAGUUGAAAAAAAUUUGAAGUGUACCUAACUUGAGUAAGAUUUUAAAUCACGUUUACCCGGUAUGUUUGAAAAAUUCCUUCUGGCGGAUGCUUGUAUAAAAUUUCAUCAUAACUUAUCUGAAUCUGUUCUUUGUAAAUUGAUUCGACUUCUAUGUAUGUAAUUUUCAUGAAAUUAAAUUUAAUUUUAUCAUACUCGACGUUAAAUUUUGUUCUUGGGUAACCAAAUACGUAGGUUAUAAUUAUUUAUUUUCAAAUUAACCCGAUGGUGAGGUUCGAUUUAUGAUUCGUUGGGUUGCGAUAAUUGGCUAUAGCAAUAUAGUGAUAUUGAGAUAAGCGUUCUUCGACGAAAUAGUGUUUAGUAUUUGGGUUAAAUUAUCCCCUGUAAUCAUAUGUACAAUCGGAAAUAAUCGAAUACCUAUCUCAAGUGUUGGUAAAUUUUUUGUUUUAUAUAUGUAGAUAUUAAAAAAUUCGAAAUGCUCUUUUUGAGGAGCGCGAUUCUUGUACUUAUUCUGAUUUGUUUUGCUGUAUUGCUGGAAGGAAACUGCGAAGACGUGUCGGAUUUCACUUAUGAUCAAGUAGAAAAUUUGCCAUCACAUUUGAGAGAAAAGUUGAAGAAAAUUGAGCAAGAAAGAGAUGAACUUGAACGAGCAAGAGAUGCCCUCAUGACGAGAAAAUAAUGACCUAACAGUUAACACAGUAUUUAUCUAUAUAGGUGAUCAUGUGUAAACAAUCAAUUUUGAAUUUAUGAAGAUACACGGUGGGGUACUUCAUAAUAUUCAAAUACAUUCUAAUCUUCUCAGGGUAAUUAAACAUACAUAUAUCGUAAUUUUAGAGUCAGAUCCAGAAUUAUCAAAUCCAUUGUUUAUUGAUGGUGGAUAUUUACUGCAUCGAGUGUCUUGGCAUAAGAAUGCAACAUACGCAUCUGAUAUCAAAGGAUUUUGAAUGCAUUGAGGAUGACAGCGAUAAUUUCAAUCUUUGAGUAAUGUGACUUCUCUAAGUACUUGCAUAGGUAGGUACCGGUUUCUAUCUAUACACCUGUACCUUUUCAAUAUUUUCAUAUUUUAUAAUUAAAUAUAAAUAUCCGAG